UGCCACCCUCACCCACAUCAGCGUUUGGAUGCCUUCCUCUAGGUCCUUUAGGAGGUCAUAGACGUUGCUGUCAGAGGCGCCGUACACCAGGCUGUUGGCGAAGACACUCCUGAGGAACUGCACGGGCUCCAGCCACGACUGGAUGAGCAGCAGGGAGAUGCGGAGCAGCUCUAGGUUCUGCAGGGGAAGGACGGGCAUUGGCUGUGCUGCCCGGGGGCUCUGACUACAGGUCUCCCCCAUCCCCGCCUGGGGAGAAGGCAUCCACUCACGGAUUUCUGUUGUGUUUCCUCCCUGUUGGAGGGUGUCGGAAUAGACUCUGAGAAACAGAGGGAGGUCUGGGGGUUCUGCAGGAAUGAAUACUUCUGUUCCUUUGGGAUAUAGCCAUUGCAGCUAGGUGAGCUGUCCACAGGACCCUGAGUGGUUCGGGGAGUUGGGCCUUGGGAUCCUUGAGCUGGUCUCUUGUGGGCCCUUUUUAUACCCUGGCCCCUUCUCUCCCACUGUUGACCCCACCUGUUUCUGUGUACAUUUAUGCAUGGGGCCACUGACGGGCUUGUGCUAAUGGAUAAUUUAGAAGCUCCUCCCACACAUGCUGGGAUCAUGCCCCCUGGCUUGUCAUCUUUCCCUUCCCACCGUCACCAGUGUUGUGAGGGUUGUGCACA
rnacentral:lncRNA from 1 species